UGAUUAAAAAAGAAAAUAUUGUAAGGAGCUUAGCUACGUAUUAAUAUAUAUAUUUAAAAAUUAAUUUUUAUGGAAGAGGAUCUUUAUAUCUUCUAAGAGUCUAUGGUCAUGAUAGUCAUUGGCACGGAGUUCUUUAAUCUGUUCCUCCAUGUGUCAAACUAACCAUGUUUAGACGUAUUAAUCGUCAUAGAUGUUAAUUAAAAACCCGAAAAAUGGUGUCGAUUAUUAAAAAUCAGUUACUUAAACAUUUAUCAAGAUUUACUAAAAAUCUAUCAGCUGAUAAAAUAAAUUUGAGUACAUUUAAGGGAGAAGGAGAGUUAACUAAUUUAGAAUUAGAUGAAAUAGUUCUAACAGAUUUAUUAGAAUUACCAUCAUGGUUAAGGUUAACAAGUGCUUGGUGUAAUAAAGUUUCUUUUCGUAUACAAUGGACCAAGUUAAAGAGCGUUCCUAUUUUGUUGAAAUUGGAUGAAGUUCAUAUCGAAGUAGAAACAUGUGAAGACUUAAGGAAUAUGUCUUCCAAUCAAGGCCUGUCAUCUUACGCAGGCCCAACAAAAUAUUCUCUUAUUCAUAAAGUGAUCGAUGGCAUUACGGUUAAUGUUAAUACAGUGUCAGUUACUUUUAAAAGUCCUGCUUUUAUUGCAUCUGUACAGAUGAAUCGCAUUGUCGUUGAAUCUAAAUCAGCUACAUGGCAACGUUGUGACUUAAGAACUACAAGACUAAAAGAUCCAGAUCGUGGGCAGUUAUUGAUUUUUAAGGAAUUAGAAUGGCAGACUGUAAGAAUAGAAGCUCAAAGUACUAAAGAUACUAAUUUGACGCCUCUUCGUUUACUUACUAACCAAGCGAGAUGUUUAAUUACUAUAAAGAAAAGAAUAUCAGAUUGCUUCAUCAUGGGUUCAAGACUGAUACUCAUAUUAGAUGAUCUCUUAUGGGUUUUAACAGACUCUCAAUUAAAAGCAGCAUUACAUUUCAUAGAUUCUUUAGGAGGUCUUAUAGAAAAAGCAACUAUGUUGGAGCGAAAAACAAAAGCAGCUAGAAAGUUAGAGGUUUUACCAGAAUAUCAAGCACAAAUUUCUCAACAAAGUAGAACGAAAAAUCAGUUUAAUACGCCAAUAUCUAAAUUAUUUUCAAAAUAUGAUGUUGUGGAAACGUCUUAUCACUUUUGGCCUCAAAGAAUCGAUCUUCAUUUGUGCGAUGAUGUUGGUGGAGGUAGGUCAUUACAUCCUGAUUUGAGGGAUGGCGGUGCUCUUCAAAUAUCUUUAGUUAAAUUCUAUAUUGAUUAUUAUCCGUAUCAUCUGGCAAUGGCUGAUAGAAAAGACUGGGUUAAAUAUAGAGAAAAUGCUACACCUCAUAGUCAAUGGUUACAACAAUCAUUGAGUUCUUUUAGAAGUCAAUUUAUGGAUUUGAUUGAUUCUGGUAGGACACAACAUUCUCCAUUAACAAGAAGUCAAGGAAAUGUUACAGGCAGUGCUACAAAAGGUUCUGGAGAAAGUUUAGAAAAAAGUAGUCAAUCGCAGAGUGCAAAUGUGGGAUCUCAAGAACAGAAAAAGUUUCAAGGUUCUAGCGGAAAUCCAGUGAAAAAUUAUGUUCUCGAACAGCUUGCUAAAUUAAUGACAACUUGUAUUAUCAUUAGAAUUGAUGAUUUUACAUUGUUCAAAGUUACCACCGCAUCACGCAAGCCUGUACCAAAGGAAUUUAUUACAGCUCAAACGAGGAAAAAACGUCUAUCAGGUGAUCGAGAUAGAUUCUGUCUUCCCGAAGAUUUAACUAUUCUUCAUGCAGAAUUUACCUACUAUUAUUAUCCCGGAGAUAUAACUUUUCCAUUACCACCGCCAAAAUUUUAUGUGCAAGUAAAUCCAAUUCAAGUUAACUUCGAUGUAUGCUCCUGCCUUUGGUUUAAUUCUUUUCUAUUAAAUCUGCACCAUUCACUAAUGAAAAAGAAUGAGCCAUCAAAUUUAAAAAAUAUGAUGUAUUUUGAUGUUAAGAUAGAAGCUAUUCUUCCAAGGAUAGUUUUUGAAAAUCAGCAAGAUUAUCCUAAUCAAAAAGAUAGACCUAAAUCCCUGCAUAUUCAGACUUCUAGAGCAUCUAUUACAAAUGUUCGGUCAGUGGAAAGGUCUUCAAGAGCUGACUUAGCACAAUGUUUAAAUACGUUUCAAAUGGGUCAAAUGUUUUUUGGAGCUGAAUUCCCAAGCAAAGAGAAUGAUUUUCAUGUUGUGACUGAUAAAUUUUUAGCGCAUUGUGCAGGUACAGAUAAUAUUAGAUCUGCUCCAUCAAAUUUUACUAGUAAUUCAGUGAACGAAUUAAUUCGACAAUUACAUCGUGAAUUUUUAUGGACAGAAGCGAAAGAUGUAUGGUGUUGCAAUUUAGAGCCAGUUUGGGGUGACUUUUUUGGUGCAAGGGCAGUAGGACAGAAUCGUCCAGUUCCAUUUUUUGAUGCAUUUCCUUUAACAUUUUGGUGUCAUAUGAAUUUAGAACCAGUAACAGAAACAAAAAACACGUUUACUGCAGAUAUUCAUGGACUUGCAUAUAUAAGCAAUUUAGUUAGCGUACAGAUAAAUCAUUAUCAAUAUCUUUUUUUAUUAAGAUUGUCAGAAGUUUUAUCUGAAUUGACUACAUAUUUAGCUAUUGAUUCAAAUAAGAUAUUGAAUGUUGAAUCUGGUGGUUCAUUAAUAAUUGGUGCAUUAAUACCGCAAAUAGAGGUGACAUUUGUAAUGCCUUCACAUACACCUGGAAAAGAAAAUUCUGGUGGAGAUUUGGAAUCCGUUGUACCUGAUUCAUCUAGUAUAGCAGAUGAUUUUGCUGGAUCAUCUUCAGCUUGGCAUAAUUCUACGCAAGUCAGUGCAAAAGUUGAUUUUAGUAUUAAGAAAAUGAACACAAGCAAUGAUGUUGAAACACCACAAAGUGAAGUAUCAUCAAUGUCAAUGGAUUUUACACAUCCUGUUGUAAUAGAACAACCUAUUGUUACGUUUAAACAGAAUGGUAAUCCAGAUAAACGUGAACAUAUUCAUACGAAUAUUGCUCAUGAAAAACCUCAUACGAUUACGGAAGAGGAAGGUUUAUCGUUAAAACAAGGAGGUGAUGCUAUACAAAAACAUAACAAACCAGAUUUGAUACCAAAUACACCUUUCAUUCAAAAUAAUUUUAACGUUGGUUUAUCUUCCAUGAGAAAAGGAUUUAGUAAUUUAAUGACGUCCAUUGAUUCUGCUUUAAAAGCAUCACCUGAGGAUGGUAGUAGCGAUACUGUAUCCAUGAGGAGUGAUUUAAGCUCGGAUAGUGAAAAUUAUGCAUUAAUUACUCUUCAAGAUCAAGAGAAAUCUGAUGGAAUAUUUGCGGUUGAUAAUAGCAUUAGAAUAACUGCUGUGGAAGAGGCAAGCGAAGUUGUAGAAGAAACGCCAGACACGCAAAGUGAAAAAUCUGUUGACAGCGUUUGUAAAAGAAAAGAUAUAAUAUCUGUUACUACAUUUAAAUUAUCCAAAGUAGAAUUUAUUACACAAUCUUCCGGUUACUCUUCAACGAUAAAAGUUCAAGUAUCUAAUGUAAAAAAUGACGAAUGUCCAUCUAUACCAUGGGACGAAUUUCAGGUCAAGAGAAAGACUAAAUUCAGCUCUCGAUCAAGAGGUUGGACUGAACUACCAUCAGAUUCGGAUUGUAGAACGUGCAUCAAACUACGCUUAGACCACGACUUAAAAAAUAAAGAAGAUUCAUUGAAACUGUUCCAAGCUUCUCAGAGUAUUAAAAGUACUAAUAAUUCAUUGGAAGAUAAUAAAAUAAUCAAAGAACAGGCCAAUAAUAUUAAUCUAUUAGACAAGCAGAGCAUCAUGGAUUUAUUUGAAGAUAAAUUGGAAAUUAAUGUAACUGAUGUAACUAUGACACUGUCCAUGAGCUCUGUUACAGGUUUAGCGGAUUUAGCAGAGGAUGAAAUUAUACCUAAACCUAUUCCAAUGCAGGUAUAUCUAGAAAGAAUAUUUCUUCAUUUGAAUGAAGAUCGGCCUCCAAACAAUAUAACGUCACCAGGUCCAAUUCCCAUACAAUUAAAUAUAUCAAAACUUAGAAUAGGAAGGGAUUUAAGUGGUGCCUUUAAUAUUGAACCAAUUGUAACUAUAUUGGAUAAGAGUAAUUCCCAUAAAUUAAAUCCAAGUGGUAACAAUCAAAUUUCUAAAGACGAAGAGCGUGAAAUAGAAUUGAAUUCUUUAAGACAAACAAGUAAACAACUGAAAUCUGAUAACGAAGAGCUCAAACGACGUCUUGGAACUUUAGAAAGACUUUCGGAAGAAAAUGCAAAAUUAUUACGUAUAAAGGAAGAAUCAGAUAUGAUUAAAACUCAUUACAAUUCUGCGCAAGAGAAUAUCGCACUACUUAUUAAAGAAAAACAAGUAUUACGAGAAACAAUAACGGAGCUUCAAAAUCAAAUCAUGGGUAAUGGACCAGGAGGUAGUAAUAGAACAUCAUGGUCUAUUAAGAGAUAGCAUACUGGCUGUUUUAAUUGUUCUAAAUGUUGCAGUUCUGUUCCUCAAAAGGCUAUAAUCUCCUAUUGAUUGCAAUCAGAGCCAUAAACAGAUCUGUGUUUGUCCCAGGUUAUGAUGAUAGGAAUGUUUCUUCCAGAAUGUGGCUUUACUUAAUGACAAAAUGAGGCAGUAAGUAUAUAUAUAUAUAUCUAAUCAUAUAUGAAAUGUCAUAUUUGCUUUUAUACAAAACGGGAAAAA
rnacentral:misc_RNA from 1 species